rnacentral:rRNA from 1 species
GAUGAACGCUGGCGGCGUGCCUAAUACAUGCAAGUCGAGCGAACAGACGAGGAGCUUGCUCCUCUGACGUUAGCGGCGGACGGGUGAGUAACACGUGGAUAACCUACCUAUAAGACUGGGAUAACUUCGGGAAACCGGAGCUAAUACCGGAUAAUAUAUUGAACCGCAUGGUUCAAUAGUGAAAGACGGUUUUGCUGUCACUUAUAGAUGGAUCCGCGCCGCAUUAGCUAGUUGGUAAGGUAACGGCUUACCAAGGCGACGAUGCGUAGCCGACCUGAGAGGGUGAUCGGCCACACUGGAACUGAGACACGGUCCAGACUCCUACGGGAGGCAGCAGUAGGGAAUCUUCCACAAUGGGCGAAAGCCUGACGGAGCAACGCCGCGUGAGUGAUGAAGGUCUUCGGAUCGUAAAACUCUGUUAUUAGGGAAGAACAAAUGUGUAAGUAACUAUGCACGUCUUGACGGUACCUAAUCAGAGAGCCACGGCUAACUACGUG